CAAUAGCGUAUAUUAAAGUUGUUGCAGUUAAAAAGCUCGUAGUUGGAUUUCUGGUGGGAGCGAUCGGUCUGGCGCUUAGCGCGAGUACUUGCAUCGUCUCCGGCCAUCCUUGGGGAAAGUCUGUCUGGCAUUAAGUUGUCGGGCAGAGGAUCCUCAUCGUUUACUGUGAAAAAAUUAGAGUGUUCAAAGCAGGCUUAUGCCGUUGAAUAUAUUAGCAUGGAAUAAUAAGAUAGGACUUUGGUACUAUUUUGUUGGUUUGCGCACCGAAGUAAUGAUUAAUAGGGACAGUUGGGGGUAUUCGUAUUCCGUUGUCAGAGGUGAAAUUCUUGGAUUUACGGAAGACGAACUACUGCGAAAGCAUUUACCAAGGAUGUUUUCAUUAA
rnacentral:rRNA from 1 species